UACGGGGGGGGCAAGCGUUGUUCGGAAUCAUUGGGCGUAAAGAGCGCGUAGGCGGUCCGGUAAGUCCGCUCUGAAAGUCCGGGGCUCAACCCCGGGAGGCGGGCGGAUACUGUCGGGCUAGAGUCCGGAAGAGGCGAGUGGAAUUCCUGGUGUAGCGGUGAAAUGCGCAGAUAUCAGGAGGAACACCAAUGGCGAAGGCAGCUCGCUGGGACGGUACUGACGCUGAGACGCGAAAGCGUGGGGAGCGAACGGG
rnacentral:rRNA from 1 species